UUUAAUUUAAAUUAUUUUAGAGUAGUAAAGGUUAAAAUCCAUAAACUUAAAAGAUUUGGCGGUAUUCUAUCUUAUUAGAGGAAUCUGUUUAUUAAUUGAUAACCCACAAUUAUUUUUUACUUUUAUUAUUUUAUUUGUAUACCGCCGUCAUGAAUCUAUUGAGAAAUUAAUUUUCUGUCUAUUUUUAUAUAAUUUAUGUUAGGUCAAGGUGCAGUUUUUAAAAGAACAAAAUGGAUUACAGUGAGCUUAUGAAUGAAUUUAUAAAUAUAAAUUUAUAAUGAAAAAGGAUUUAACAGUAAAUUUAUUUGUAUAAAUACAAUGAAUUAAGAUUCUAGAAUAUGU
rnacentral:rRNA from 1 species